rnacentral:rRNA from 1 species
UAGGGAAUCUUAGACAAUGGGGGCAACCCUGAUCUAGCCAUGCCGCGUGUGUGACGAAGGCCUUAGGGUCGUAAAGCACUUUCGCCAGGGAUGAUAAUGACAGUACCUGGUAAAGAAACCCCGGCUAACUCCGUGCCAGCAGCCGCGGUAAUACGGAGGGGGUUAGCGUUGUUCGGAAUUACUGGGCGUAAAGCGCGCGUAGGCGGACUGUUAAGUCGGGGGUGAAAUCCCGGGGCUCAACCCCGGAACUGCCCUCGAUACUGGCAGUCUAGAGUUCGAGAGAGGUGAGUGGAAUUCCGAGUGUAGAGGUGAAAUUCGUAGAUAUUCGGAGGAACACCAGUGGCGAAGGCGGCUCACUGGCUCGAUACUGACGCUGAGGUGCGAAAGUGUGGGGAGCAAACAGGAUUAGAUACCCCCGUAGUCC